GAUGAACGCUGGCGGCGUGCCUAAUACAUGCAAGUCGAGCGAACAGACGAGGAGCUUGCUCCUCUGACGUUAGCGGCGGACGGGUGAGUAACACGUGGAUAACCUACCUAUAAGACUGGGAUAACUUCGGGAAACCGGAGCUAAUACCGGAUAAUAUAUUGAACCGCAUGGUUCAAUAGUGAAAGACGGUUUUGCUGUCACUUAUAGAUGGAUCCGCGCCGCAUUAGCUAGUUGGUAAGGUAACGGCUUACCAAGGCAACGAUGCGUAGCCGACCUGAGAGGGUGAUCGGCCACACUGGAACUGAGACACGGUCCAGACUCCUACGGGAGGCAGCAGUAGGGAAUUUUCCGAAAUGGGCGAAAGCCUGACGGAGCAACGCCGCGUGAGUGAUGAAGGUCUUCGGAUCGUAAAACUCUGUUAUUAGGGAAGAACAAAUGUGUAAGUAACUAUGCACGUCUUGACGGUACCUAAUCAGAAAGCCACGGCUAACUACGUG
rnacentral:rRNA from 1 species